rnacentral:rRNA from 1 species
AGCAGCCGCGGUAAUUCCAGCUCCAAUAGCGUAUAUUAAAGUUGUUGCAGUUAAAAAGCUCGUAGUUGAACUUCGGGGUCUACCCAUUGGUCAGGCUUAAUUGUCUGCACUGGUGAGAUGGAUCUCUACCUUCUGAGGAACUUUCAUGCCAUUUAUUUGGUGUGAUGGGAAAUCAGGACUGUUACUUUGAAAAAAUUAGAGUGUUUAAAGCAGACUAUCGUCUGAAUACAUUAGCAUGGAAUAAUGAAAUAGGACGGACUGAUUCUAUUUCGUUGGUUUCUAGGAUCACCGUAAUGAUUAAUAGGGAUAGUUGGGGGCAUUAGUAUUCAAUUGUCAGAGGUGAAAUUCUUGGAUUUAUUGAAGACUAACUACUGCGAAAGCAUUUGCCAAGGAUGUUUUCAUUAAUCAAGAACGAAGUUAGGGGAUCGAAGACGAUCAGAUACCGUCGUAGUCUUAACCAUAAACUAUGCCGACUAGGGGAUCGGACGAAGUUAAUUUAUAAUGACNCGUUCGG